UAAAAUACGUAAUAUUUUAAUUUUCUUCCAACUCUACGAAGUUGCUAUAGUUAACUCAACAAAUAAGCUAUUCAAAGCAAACUAAGAUUGCAAAAAAAUUUGUCUCCCUUAUGCAAAACGUUAUUGAAUGCAAAUUGAAUUCAACCAUCAUAGAUGCAUUUCUUCUUUUCGUCAUCUUUUGAUGCAACAAUAGUAGACCUGCACAUUUCCAUAUUGUCAAGAUCCAUUAAAAGAAUUGACAUCUUUUUCCGUUUCUCAAAUUGAAUCGAAACCUCUUCCGAAAAAAACUACAAUC
rnacentral:lncRNA from 1 species